UGGGGAAUAUUGCACAAUGGGCGAAAGCCUGAUGCAGCGACGCCGCGUGAGGGAUGACGGCCUUCGGGUUGUAAACCUCUUUCAGUAGGGACGAAGCGCAAGUGACGGUACCUGCAGAAGAAGCACCGGCUAACUACGUACCAGCAGCCGCGGUAAUACGUAGGGUGCGAGCGUUGUCCGGAAUUACUGGGCGUAAAGAGCUCGUAGGCGGUUUGUCACGUCGUCUGUGAAAUCCUAGGGCUUAACCCUGGACGUGCAGGCGGUACGGGCUGACUUGAGUACUACAGGGGAGACUGGAAUUUCUGGUGUAGCGGUGGAAUGCACAGAUAUCAGGAAGAACACCGAUGGCGAAGGCAGGUCUCUGGUUAGUAACUGACUCUGAGGAGCGAAAGCAUGGGUAGCGAACAGG
rnacentral:rRNA from 1 species